rnacentral:lncRNA from 1 species
CUGACCCAGCCUCAUCCUAUGGUUUAUUUGUGCCGCCUGAAACGGUAGUACUAAGUGGACGUGAAACACCUGGGACUGAGGGUGGAGCAUAACGACCACCAAAAGGAGGUUCCUGACCCGCGGCAACAGUUUCUUCAGGACGUUUUUGCAAAUAACGAAGCAUUGCUUUUUCCAACGCGCUCAUUUUCUUCGGCUUAUGCUGAGGGCCAACUAUGAUUUUCCCCUUGCCGAAAGAGGAACGACGAUCACCCCCACCAUCGCCACUUCCUCUAGUAGCAGAAGCCAUCUAUGUACAAAAAUUCUUACCUUAGCACUACAGAAGUUGUUGAACUUGAAGACCGUGAUCAUCUCGCGAGCAUGUCCUCAACUGGGCGGCACCGCACUUCGUCAUGAAAGAAGUUCGAUUCUACGGAAAAGGGGACACGGUCACAAUGUCCGUAUCUACUCUUUCUCGUAGAAUCGAACCUCCUUCUUGACAUACGUUGCUGCUCGGCGGAGAACAUCCUCGCAGAGAUGAACACGGUAUGCAAGUUCAACAAGUAUGGAUUUGAAAAACCAUAUUGAAUUUGAUAAGAUAAACCGUUUAGACAAGGUAGCAUCAUUCUUAACCCACUGCAAGAAUACAUACUAUAUAUGACACAUCAAUCUCCCUCAC